UUUAAAAGUCUCCAUCUUGGUCUAGCACCCAAAAAUUGUGCACACCCACACUACACGGGCAUGUGCUAGUCAAUGACAAAUCAGAAAUAACUAACUGCCCACCUGGGCUGUCCUAAGCCAAGCUAGAGUCAACCAUUGGAUUUUGUGAGACACAGGAAGUGAGGUAGGGAACAGCCUCUGGAAUUCGCUCACUUCCUGUGGAGAGAGCUAGACGCCAGUUGGUGUUAGGAGCUUGGAGAGGGAGGACGCCCGCAGACAGCUUUCCUUCAGAUCACUCACUUUCUUCCUGUAGUUCAGUGGAAUGAAUAAUGAACCUGGCAUCAGAGGACCUGGAUUCAAAUCCUGAACCACCUGUUUAUUAUCUGUGCAAUCUUGGUUUUCAUGUGAACCCGGUGAGGGUCAGAGCAGUGCUGCUUUUUGGCAGGGGACUUCGUGGUCCUAAGAGGCUUGUCGAAAGAGCGGUCAGGAGACUAUCGGACUGUAGAUACGAUGGCUUUGAGGACGUACGAGAGUGAGAUAGGGGUGCACAAGAGGCUUUGCACAUCCCUCAACCUCAGAAACAAGAUAAGGAAACUGAUACCCUUGAAGAUGAAGCAGCUUCCCCAAGGUCACACAAGCAGGAAGUGUCACCAUUAGGACUUGAUCCCAGGUCCUCUGAUUCUAGAGCCAGUCCCCUUUAGAUUAUCUAGUUCCAACUCUUAAUUUGACAGUUGGGCAAAGGGAGGCCCUACUUUCUCCAGGUCACACAGGUAGUAACUGGCAAAGCCCAGGCUCAAAGCCAUCCCCUGACUCCAAAGUCAGCAUUAUUUUUUUCUUUGCUAUAAUGCCUCUUAGUUUUACAUAUCGGAAAGUUUGAGCUGUGGCGUACUUGUAGCUGUCUGCUGGCGCCUUGGAAGCCCAAGACUCCUGCCACCCUUAACCCAUCUGUGAUUGCUCCGAAAAGGGCAUGGAGUUCACUUAACAAGAGUGUCCCACGGGGAAGAGGCUAAUUCUGCAAUUUGUGGGUGAUCAGACCCUUUGGACUCUCCUCUUUCCUCCUGGUAUUUUGUCCAUUAGAAGGGAUGGCUCUGAGAAAAGAUAUGAGAGGGGGAGGUAAAAACAAUUUGCCCAAUAUGAGAUUUGGGGAUUAUCUAUGGAUUCAAUUAUCCAUGACGUCUCUGUCAACCAUAAGCCAGUGCUGACUCUCUGAGUGGGGAAAGAUCUCAUUUCUGAUGACACCGCUGAGAAACGGAAGGGAUAAUUAGGCUGUCUAUGAAGCUGAAAAAUUGUGAGGGUUACAUUGCCUGGAAAAAUCCAACUGUUUUCAUUUUCAGUAUUUUUUCCCCUUAGACUUUUGUCUACCACUAAUUCAAAUCCUUUUGUUAGUGUAGAUUUUUUGGGGAGGGGGGUAGUACCUAUUAGUAUCUAAAACACCAUUUCCUUAGUGUCCUUAGAAUAAUCCACGGUUUCUUCAUCCUGAUUCAGGCCAAAGGCAGAUGUACGUUCAUCCCUGAAGCUCAACCGAAAUGGCAAUCUUGUUCUGUGCUCAGUAAUUAAAUCAGGUCGUAUACCAGUAUGCCCACUCUGUCUUUCUGUCUAGCUGGUUCAGGAUUAAAAAUGGAUCUUUGUAUUAAAUCGUUAUGUAAAUAAUCUGAGUUGGACCAGUUGUCAGGCCACUGGAUUUAAUAGGACUCAGGAGUUGGAGGUAAGGUAGCGUAGUAGGAAGAGGGUGGGUUUGGGAGUCAGGAAUCUGGAGUGGAAUUUUGGCUGUGCUAUUUCCUGGCUACAUCAUCAUGAACAAAUCAAUAAUAGGAUAUAUAAAUAUGAAAAAAAAUUCUUGCUGAGCCUGUUUCCUUAUCUGAAAAAAAUGCUUAAGGUCUGUCUUACAAAGAUGUGAGCAGUAAUUAAUAUCCCUUAAAAUAUCAUAAGAACAUGAACUAAUGAUGAUAGUAGUGGCAGUGGUGAUGAUGAUGAUGAUGAUGAUGAUAGGCUAAUGCAUUGGAUAGACAGGUAGCAAGACCUGAGUCUGAAUUCAACUUCUGACACUUACUUACUCAGCUACAUGAUCUUGGGCAAGUCAUUUAACCUAUGUUUGUUUUAGUUUUUCUUAUCUGAAAAUGGGACUAGCACCUACCUCCCAGGGUUUUUGUGAUGAAGAAAAGGGAUAAUAUUUGUAAUGCACUUUUCCAACUCUAAAGCACUAUAUAAAUAAAUGUUAGGGUUCUAAUUAUUGUUGCAAAUCCUAGUGUCACAUAAAUGUUAGGUAUGAUAAUGCAAGAAUAGAAACUAUAUGGCAUGUUGCUGUGUUGUUAUUGCUUAGUCAUUUUCAGUCAUGUCUCACUCUUAAUUACUUCUUCUGUUGGGGGUUUUCUUGGCAAAGAUAAUACAAUUAUUUGACUUUUUCUUCUUUAGUUCAUUUUAGAGAUGAGGAAACUCAGACAAAUAGAAUGAAGUGACUUGCCCAGGGUCAUAAAGCUGGUAUACAUUUGAGGCAGGAUUUGAACUCAAGUCUUCUUGAUUCUAGGUCUAACACUCUAUCUACUCUGCCCUUUAUUUGUCACCUUGCUUUAGGUUCCAAAAAUUUAUCAUCUUCAGGCUACCUAGAAAGAUGUGAUCAGGUGGCUCAAUUUAUAUUCUAGAAAAAAGAGCACUGACAUAAAUGCCUGGAGAAUUUUGUUCAGGAGAGCUAAGGUUAGUACCAAGCAAUCAUCAAUAAGCUUGGGCUGAGGAAGAACCAAUGGUACCUAAGGCAGGUCAGUAAGCCCAAGCAUCCCCGAAGAAUUUCCUAUAAUUAAUUCUGCAAUGAUUGAUACUGAGGUACUGUCAACUGGUCAAGUCCAGCCCUCCAUUUGGGUCCUCCAUCUGACUACAUUGGGUCCUGUGACAGCCGGUGUUGGGAGGCUAUUUGGGUGGUUAUUUGCUUUUUCUCAGAUGGUUUGUUUCCAGAGAUGCUCAGAAGUCAGAAAUUGGGAAUUAAAGGCAGUUAUUCUAGCUCAUACCCUAGAUGUAAUUCUGUAGAAGUGUGAGGCUCUGGGCAUUUUCCUUACCAGAGCAGAUAUCUUGUCUUACAAGGAAAGCAGACUUUGCUUCUGGGAUUGCCAGGAUCCUGAUAAAAUCGGUUCCCUUUACCUCUUUAACAUCAGAAGGCUCAACUCUGAAUUAUGGAUUUAAAUGACUCUUCAAUAAAGGACCCCAGUGCCAAUUAAGCAUUGCCUUGAGGCAGUCUGAUUUAACAGUGAGCCAGGAAAACACUCAGAAGCUUCCUUCCAUCAAGCAAGGCCAGAAGGAGUUGGUUUUAAUUAAUCUGUUGCUGGAAACCAGGUACUAGACAUCUCACCCAUGGAUGGAUGGGAGUUAUGCCUUUUUUUCUGUUAGUUUUUAUUUUUUUAAUGAUUGGUUGUAUUUCCUGUGUAUGGGGAUAUACCUUAACAGCAUGGAGACCUACCAUUGACAUUUAUGGAAUCUGAGA